CGAGCUGGCACCGGAGAAAACUGCCAACCCAGCAGGUCAGGGGCGGGCCGGCCAUAGGUUCGAAUCCUGCCACCUUUC
rnacentral:tRNA from 1 species